GCAUGUAGGGUAAACGAGGACU
rnacentral:siRNA from 1 species